AUUGAACGCUGGCGGCAGGCCUAACACAUGCAAGUCGAACGGUAACAGGAAGCAGCUUGCUGCUUUGCUGACGAGUGGCGGACGGGUGAGUAAUGUCUGGGAAACUGCCCGAUGGAGGGGGAUAACUACUGGAAACGGUAGCUAAUACCGCAUAACGUCGCAAGACCAAAGAGGGGGACCUUAGGGCCUCUUGCCAUCGGAUGUGCCCAGAUGGGAUUAGCUAGUAGGUGGGGUAAUGGCUCACCUAGGCGACGAUCCCUAGCUGGUCUGAGAGGAUGACCAGCCACACUGGAACUGAGACACGGUCCAGACUCCUACGGGAGGCAGCAGUGGGGAAUAUUGCACAAUGGGCGCAAGCCUGAUGCAGCCAUGCCGCGUGUAUGAAGAAGGCCUUCGGGUUGUAAAGUACUUUCAGCGGGGAGGAAGGGAGUAAAGUUAAUACCUUUGCUCAUUGACGUUACCCGCAGAAGAAGCACCGGCUAACUCCGUGCCAGCAGCCGCGGUAAUACGGAGGGUGCAAGCGUUAAUCGGAAUUACUGGGCGUAAAGCGCACGCCGGCGGUUUGUUAAGUCAGAUGUGAAAUCCCCCGGGCUCACCCUGGGAACUGCAUCUGAUACUGGCAAGCUUGAGUCUCGUAGAGGGGGGUAGAAUUCCAGGUGUAGCGGUGAAAUGCGUAGAGAUCUGGAGGAAUACCGGUGGCGAAGGCGGCCCCCUGGACGAAGACUGACGCUCAGGUGCGAAAGCGUGGGGAGCAAACAGGAUUAGAUACCCUGGUAGUCCACGCCGUAAACGAUGUCGACUUGGAGGUUGUGCCCUUGAGGCGUGGCUUCCGGAGCUAACGCGUUAAGUCGACCGCCUGGGGAGUACGGCCGCAAGGUUAAAACUCAAAUGAAUUGACGGGGGCCCGCACAAGCGGUGGAGCAUGUGGUUUAAUUCGAUGCAACGCGAAGAACCUUACCUGGUCUUGACAUCCACGGAAGUUUUCAGAGAUGAGAAUGUGCCUUCGGGAACCGUGAGACAGGUGCUGCAUGGCUGUCGUCAGCUCGUGUUGUGAAAUGUUGGGUUAAGUCCCGCAACGAGCGCAACCCUUAUCCUUUGUUGCCAGCGGUCCGGCCGGGAACUCAAAGGAGACUGCCAGUGAUAAACUGGAGGAAGGUGGGGAUGACGUCAAGUCAUCAUGGCCCUUACGACCAGGGCUACACACGUGCUACAAUGGCGCAUACAAAGAGAAGCGACCUCGCGAGAGCAAGCGGACCUCAUAAAGUGCGUCGUAGUCCGGAUUGGAGUCUGCAACUCGACUCCAUGAAGUCGGAAUCGCUAGUAAUCGUGGAUCAGAAUGCCACGGUGAAUACGUUCCCGGGCCUUGUACACACCGCCCGUCACACCAUGGGAGUGGGUUGCAAAAGAAGUAGGUAGCUUAACCUUCGGGAGGGCGCUUACCACUUUGUGAUUCAUGACUGGGGUG
rnacentral:rRNA from 1 species